rnacentral:rRNA from 1 species
UAUCUCUGUAGAGUCUGCAUAUCAAUAAGCGGAGGAAAAGAAACUAACAAGGAUUCCCCUAGUAACGGCGAGUGAAGCGGGAAGAGCUCAAAUUUGAAAUCUUCAAGGUUUGACCUUGACGAAUUGUAGUUUAAAGAAGUGUUUUCUGUUAGAUGAGUAGUAAAAGUUCCUUGGAAUAGGGACAUCAUAGAGGGUGAGAAUCCCGUAUUUGACUAUUCAUUUCUAGCUUUGUGAUACACUUUCAAAGAGUCGGAUUGUUUGGGAAUGCAGUCCAAAAUGGGUGGUAAAUUUCAUCUAAAGCUAAAUAUUGGCGAGAGACCGAUAGCGAACAAGUACCGUGAGGGAAAGAUGAAAAGAACUUUGAAAAGAGAGUUAAACAGUACGUGAAAUUGUCAAAAGGGAAGCGUUUGACACCAGUGUUGUUUUUCCGAAAAUCAAUUACGAAUGGCUUGAUUUUGUGUUGUAUUGACCUUAUCAGCUUUCUUCACUUUUUUCGAGUCUUUCUUAAUGCACUUUUCGGUUAACAAGUCAACAUCAAUUUCUUUUGUUGUAAAAGAGUAUUCGGAAGGUGGCUUUCUUUUCGGAGAAAGUGUUUAUAGCCCUAUACUUCUACAAUCGGAGAGAUUGAGGUCUGCAGCGUAGAUCCUUCGGGGUUAGAUACACUUGUGCUAAGUUGUAGCUUUUCAUAGACAACUUGUUGACUAUGUUUAGUCAUGCGGCUUACUCGCUUGUGCUAUUUUACCUACGCUUAGGAUGUUGACUGAUAUGUAGUCGU